GAGAAAUAUGCAGAGUGAUUAAUUUGAAGGGAGUGCAUUUUUGUUGAGUCCAUGAGAUAUCACUUUCUAAGGCUAAAAUCCCCCUGAAGUUGUGCACUACAUGUGAAAAGCAAGGUGGACCACUUAGGGCUAACCCAUCAUUUCAAGAUCUUGCUCUCCGACACCAACUUCGUAAGAGUUGCCAACAAAAUCAAGAAACUGGAGUUUGUGAAAGCCAAGGUUACAUCAAAGAAUAACACAGAAACUACUAAAAGGAUGAAAACACGCAAGCAUACCUGGUGGUGAAGAUCAGCAAGCUGGUCAAGCAUGAAGUGAGUCUGAAAAAAUUGUGAAAUAUAUGUUACAAUAUCCAAGAAAUCUUAAGGUAAAGAAAAAAAAGAAGUAAUGUCAACAAAAAGAGCUUAAAGAAAAAAA